UCUGUUCUUUACCAGCAUUUAACUUCUCAGAAUUUCCAUCGGUAAACUCUCUUCUUUUAUGAAAUUUUUCCAUAAUUUUGAUCAUCCCAGUUAUCAAUCUAAAAUUGUUCAUAAGAAAUUGUAGAGUUGGAAUAUAUAUAUAUAUAUACUGAAUACACAGAAAAGAAAUUAGAAAUUUAGAAUGGAAAAUAGAAGAAGAGGAAGUGGGUUGAGGCUUAGAGUAGACAGGGGAGUGGGCGUCUGAACGGCGCCGGUGUGGAGUGGAGGUAGGCAGCGCCCUCGCCGGAGAAACAGGCGCG
rnacentral:lncRNA from 1 species